CGGGGUGCAGCAGGCGCGAAAACUUUACACUGCGGGAAACCGCGAUAAGGGGACCCCGAGUGCCAGCACCUAGUGCUGGCUGUCCUACUGUCUAAAUAACAGUAGUUAGCAAGGGCCGGGCAAGACCGGUGCCAGCCGCCGCGGUAACACCGGCGGCCCGAGUGGUAACCGUUUUUAUUGGGUUUAAAGGGUCCGUAGCCGGCUUAUUAAGUCUCUUGGGAAAUCUGGCGGCUCAAUCGUCAGGCGGCCAGGAGAUACUGGUAGGCUUGGGACCGGGAGAGGUGGGAGGUACUCCAGGGGUAGGGGUGAAAUCUCGUAAUCCUUGGGGGACCACCGAUGGCGAAGGCAUCCCACCAGAACGGGUCCGACGGUGAGGGACGAAAGCUGGGGGCACGAACCGGAUUAGAUACCCGGGUAGUCCCAGCUGUAAACGAUGCUCGCUAGGUGUCAGGUGGGGUGCGACCGCAUCUGGUGCCGCAGUGAAAACUUGAAGCGAGCCACCUGGGAAGUACGGUCGCAAGGCUGAAACUUAAAGGAAUUGGCGGGGGAGCACAAGGGCGAAUGCG
rnacentral:rRNA from 1 species